AUGAACUGCCCAAGUCAGAUGCAUCCCCUGACCCUCCCCCUCGCAAAUUUGAAAAAUCUAAGCAACUCCAUCGAAAUUAUGAGCACUUGCGUCUUGAGAAGCAAGCAACAUCGAAAAAACGAAUCCUAUGCACCAGUCACUAGGAUUUGGUCGUGUGUAUCCCCUUACAACGACUCAAUCCCGCCUACCCCCAGCACAAACCCACCCCUCCCCUCCCCUCACCAUAGCAACGCCACGCCCUCCAAAAGCAUUCACGACGCGGAGCCCGAGGACGCCAUGGACAACCUCAGCGAGAAAAAUAGGGGAGCAGGGGAGGAGGAAAUAGCGGUUUACCUCCGCCUGCACCCGGCGACUCGCGGCGCUCGCGGACAGCCUCCCACACCGGCGACUCCACGCCGGAUCCACCACUGCAGCACCCCGCCUCGCCGCGCCGUUGCUAGAGGAGAGGAAAGGGAGAGGGAGAGGAGUUCAAAUGAAAUCUGCGGGGGAUCUAACAGACAGAAACUCGCGCUUGGUGGAGGGGGCUUGAGGGUCCUGGUCGUUCACCGGUUGAAAAGAGAAGAGACGGGAGGUCGGUUCCUUCUGCCUCGUACUACCGCCGUAACCCUAACCCUAACCCCUAGAGCAGAUCCAGCUAGCCGCAGUACGAGCGUCACCGGCGUCUCCUCCGCCCCCUACCUCAAAAAAGAUAAAGCCGGAGAAACUGGAGGUAGGUUCUUUCCGCCUCGUCGUAACACCCUAAGCCAUACAUCAGAUCUAGCCCGCCGCAAUGCGAGCGUCGUCGGGAUCUCCUCCUAUCCCGACCUCGAAGGGGGAGGGGGUCUCUAUGCGAUGAUGGUCUCAUGGUGUGACCAAUUCCUUGAUAUUGAUAUUGAUAUUGAGGAGGAAGGGGAUAGAUCCGUUCCUCCCUUGUUGAUGAUCCACUUUCCCCUUUCAGGUCUUUUUGAGAGAGCAUGGGGAAAUAAUCGCCUAUAUCCUCAAGCUUUAGAUGACUGUUGUCCGUAUCGUGCAUACCUCCAGAAGUUCUGCGAUCAUAAUGCUCCUCGUUAUCAUGAUCCCGAUGCCUACAAGUUGGAAAUUAGAUUGAAGUCUGAGUGGCUGUACAAGCACACCCAUGUCCCCCAUGAUGAGAUCAGUCUGAGUGACAAUAUCCAAAACUGCGCUUAUGAACUUAUCCGUUCCAACAGCGGUGAAGGAGAUUCUCCUAUUUCCAUGAUCGCUGCCACAUGUGUUGCGAAGGAGAGCGAGUUGAUCGUUGAGAGGCUGAGCUGUCAUCCCAGUCUUCUGGACCCUGAAGAAUCACCCCACGAGAGCACACAGAUACGGAUGUUUGCCUUAAGUUGCAUGAAAGGUUCUCAGGCUUGUUCUGAUGCUGCUCUUCUGGUUAAAAAAGCUGCCCUGCUGGGCAUUACAAUUGAAGCUGGCUUGAUGACUCGGAACCUGAGGGAUAAGUAUUAUGACUCCAACGUAUCCUACCUGAACAGAUUGAUCCGGCGCUUUGCCUUAGAAGUUGUAAGGCAAAAAUUUGACGGAUCUCUUGAACAUUCUGCUCAUGAUGAUUAUCGGUAUGAUUUUGUUGCUAGACUUGAAGAAGAUGCUGAGAAUCAUUGUAGGGACAGCCUUGUAAACUCUGAUCCAGCUUCUGAGGAGAAAGGAAAUGUUGCAUCAUGUGCCUCCACAUGCAGCAACGGAAACUGAG
rnacentral:rRNA from 1 species